rnacentral:rRNA from 1 species
GACGAACGCUGGCGGCGUGCUUAACACAUGCAAGUCGAACGGAAAGGCCUCUUUCGGGUGGUACUCGAGUGGUGAAAGGGUGAGUAUAACGCGAGUAAACUGCCCUUGACUUUGGGGUAACUUUAGGAAACUGGGGCUAUUACCGCAUAGGAGCUCCUGUUGCACGUUGGGGGUUGGAAAGUUUCGGCGGUUGGGGAUUGACUCGCGGCUUAUCAGCUUGUUGGUGGGGUAGUGGCUUACCAAGGCUUUGACGGGUAGCCGGCCUGAGAGGGUGACCGGCCACAUUGGGACUGAGAUACGGCCCAGACUCCUACGGGAGGCAGCAGUGGGGAAUAUUGCACAAUGGGUGGAAGCCUGAUGCAGCAACGCCGUGUGCGGGAUGACGGCCUUCGGGUUGUAAACCGCUUUCGCUCAUGACGAAGCUUUGUGUGACGGUAGUGGGUAAAGAAGCACCGGCUAACUACGUG